GACGAACGCUGGCGGCGUGCUUAACACAUGCAAGUCGAACGGAAAGGCCCGGCGUUUGUGGGUUGCUCGAUUGGCGAACGGGUGAGUAACACGUGUGUAACCUGCCCUUGACUUUGGGAUAACUUCAGGGAACUGGGGCGAAUAUCGGAUAGGAUCUCCUGCUGCAUGGGGGGGGAUGGAAAGUGUCGGCGGUUGGGGAUGGACUCGCGGCUUAUCAGCUUGUUGGUGGGGUAGUGGCUGACCAAGGCUUUGACGGGUAGCCGGCCUGAGAGGGUGGACGGCCACCUUGGGACUGAGAGACGGAGCAGAAUCCUACCGGCGGCAGCAGUGGAGAAUAUUGCAGAAUGGCGGGACGCCAGAGGCAGCAACGCCGCGAGCGGGAUACCGGCCUUCGGGUUGUAAACAGAUUUGGCAUGUGCCGAAGAGUGCGUGACGGUAAUGGGUAAAGAAGCAACGGCUAACUACGUG
rnacentral:rRNA from 1 species